CCCGCCCCACAGCUCCAGCCCCGCUCCAGAAAGAAGAAUCCAUUUGAAGUUGAAGGCAGAGCCAGUUCGACUUGUACCCCUGCCCCCUGCCCUAGAGAUCUCCAAGCGGCUCGGCCCAGGACACCGCCUGGAAACCCAGCCGCGUGGGAGAGGGCGACCCCACCUCCAACCCCCUUGCUGUGCGCCGGCCCAGCCCCUAGAAGUCAGCGGACGGCGGAGGAGGUGGCCCGGCCUCUCUUGGUGGUCCUGCGCUCUCGGGGUCUUUCCUUCCUGCUGACCCAGGGUGCUCAAGGGUCAGCCUGGUCGGACCCGCAGGGGAGUGUCCACGGACGGGCUCAGG
rnacentral:lncRNA from 1 species